GGGAUUGGGACAACAUUUUUGCUUUUGUCGGCUCUGGUUGCGAUGACUUGCUCCUUGGUUAGCCAUGUGCGUGUCUGUUCUAUGCACUGUUUCGUUCUGGCGGUCAUGAGCCUGUCUGUGUUGGGAUGGGUUCUGGAUCUUGGGUAUGAACGCACUGCCAUCCACCUAGCUUUUUGUUUCUUGACGUCAGUGGAUUUUCUAUUCUGCAAAUGGCGUCGGCUAAGCUGCAUCGGUCAUUCACGACGAAGUUCGGGCCGAACCUUAACACUUCCUUGACAAAAAAACGUACAUCUUGGGAGCAGUAGGAGAUUACUUCAGUCGAGAAGUCAUGUUCCUUAGGCCAAUCAGCAGUUGAGUUUUCAUUAACCAUUUGAGCUUUUUAACAUACUUUUUUUAGUAUUAAAUGCAAAUUGUAC
rnacentral:lncRNA from 1 species